rnacentral:rRNA from 1 species
ACCCAAUAGAUACCCUGGUAGUCCACGCCCUAAACGAUGUAUGCUUGGUGUUGGCUCGUAUGAGUCAGUGCCGUAGGUAAACCUGAUAAGCAUACCACCUGGGGAGUACGCUCGCAAGGGUGAAACUCAAAGGAAUUGACGGGGGCCCGCACAAGCGGUGGAGCAUGUGGUUUAAUUCGAGGCUACGCGAAGAACCUUACCUGGGCUUGAACUGCCGGUAGUAGGACCCUGAAAGGGGAACGACCCGCAAGGGAGCCGGCGGAGGUGCUGCAUGGCUGUCGUCAGCUCGUGCCGUGAGGUGUUGGGUUAAGUCCCCGCAACGAGCGCAACCCCUACCCUUAGUUGCCAUCAGGUUAUGCUGGGCACUCUAAGGGGACUGCCUACGCAAGUAGUGAGGAAGGUGGGGAUGAUGUCAAGUCAUCAUGGUCCUUACGUCCAGGGCUACACACGUGCUACAAUGAACGGUACAAUGGGCAAAACCGCAAGGUGAGGCAAUCCCGAAAACCGUUCUCAGUACGGAUUGGAGUCUGCAACUCGACUCC